UACGAAGGGGGCUAGCGUUGUUCGGAAUUACUGGGCGUAAAGCGUACGUAGGCGGCUUUGUAAGUUAGAGGUGAAAGCCUGGUGCUCAACACCAGAACUGCCUUUAAGACUGCAUCGCUUGAACGUCGGAGAGGUGAGUGGAAUUCCGAGUGUAGAGGUGAAAUUCGUAGAUAUUCGGAAGAACACCAGUGGCGGAGGCGGCUCACUGGACGACUGUUGACGCUGAGGUACGAAAGCGUGGGGAGCAAACAGG
rnacentral:rRNA from 1 species